rfam:Danio rerio chromosome 4, GRCz11 reference primary assembly.
GGCUCUGUGGUGCAAUGGAUAGCGCAUUGGACUUAUAGGCUGUGAGCUGAGCCAUUCAAAGGUUGUGGGUUCGAGUCCCACCAGAGUCG